GAGGGUACAGCUCAGUGGUAGACCACAUGCUUAACAUGCACGAGGUCCUGGGUUCAAUCCCCGGUACUUCCA
rnacentral:tRNA from 1 species